rnacentral:rRNA from 1 species
AGUGAACGCUGGCGGCGUGCUUAACACAUGCAAGUCGAACGAGAACGGAAUAUAGCUUGCUAUAUUUGUCAGCUAAGUGGCGCACGGGUGAGUAAUGUAUAGAUAACCUGCCCUUAAGAAAGGAAUAACAGUUGGAAACGACUGCUAUGCCCUAUAUGCCUUUAAUACACAAGUAUGCAAGGGAAACGCUUUAGUGCUUAAGGAUGGGUCUGUAUGGUAUCAGCUUGUUGGUGAGGUAAUGGCUCACCAAGGCUAUUACGCCUAACUGGUUUGAGAGGAUGAUCAGUCACACUGGAACUGAGACACGGUCCAGACUCCUACGGGAGGCAGCAGUGGGGAAUAUUGCACAAUGGACGAAAGUCUGAUGCAGCAACGCCGCGUGGAGGAUGACACAUUUCGGUGCGUAAACUCCUUUUAUAUAGGAAGAUAAUGACGGUACUAUAUGAAUAAGCACCGGCUAACUCCGUGCCAGCAGCCGCGGUAA